rnacentral:rRNA from 1 species
UACGGAGGAUCCGAGCGUUAUCAGGAUUUAUUGGGUUUAAAGGGUGCGUAGGCGGCACUUUAAGUCAGGGGUGAAAGCCCUAUGCUCAACAUAGGGAUUGCCUUUGAUACUGAACGGCUAGAGUGAAGAUGGAGUGGGUGGAAUGUGUUGUGUAGCGGUGAAAUGCAUAGAUAUAACACAGAACACCGAUCGCGAAGGCAGCUCACUAAUUUUCAACUGACGCUCAUGCACGAAAGCGUGGGGAUCAAACAGG